AGAGUUUGAUCCUGGCUCAGAGCGAACGCUGGCGGCAGGCCUAACACAUGCAAGUCGAGCGCCCGUAGCAAUACGGGAGCGGCAGACGGGAGAGUAACACGUGGGAACGCGCCCUUCGGUUCGGAAUAACUCAGGGAAACUUGAGCUAAUACCGGAUACGCCCUUACGGGGAAAGAUUUAUUGCCGAAGGAACGGCCCGCGUCCGAUUAGCUAGUUGGUGAGGUAAUGGCUCACCAAGGCGACGAUCGGUAGCUGGUCUGAGAGGAUGACCAGCCUCACUGGGACUGAGACACGGCCCAGACUCCUACGGGAGGCAGCAGUGGGGAAUAUUGGACAAUGGGCGCAAGCCUGAUCCAGCCAUGCCGCGUGGAUGAUGAAGGCCCUAGGGUUGUAAA
rnacentral:rRNA from 1 species